UACGUAGGGAGCGAGCGUUGUCCGGAAUCAUUGGGCGUAAAGCGCGCGUAGGCGGCCCGAUCAGUCCGUUCUGAAAGUCAAAGGCUCAACCUUUGAACGCGGAUGGAAACUGUCGGGCUAGAGUACGGAAGAGGCGAGUGGAAUUCCUGGUGUAGCGGUGGAAUGCGCAGAUAUCAGGAGGAACACCAAUAGCGAAGGCAGCUCGCUGGGACGUUACUGACGCUAAGGCGCGAAAGCGUGGGGAGCGAAC
rnacentral:rRNA from 1 species